AAUAAAAUGUUCAUAGUCAGACAUCAAAUGUAUGAGUACAUGUAUGUACAUGUACAAAAAAUGUAGUCGUGCAAAGCCUCUUUGUCAUUGUGAUGAAUUACAUGUACCCAAUAUACAACUAUUUAAAGAUCUUUUUAUGAUUUAGGCCAUAUGAGCUUUUUUUAAUUAAAUUUUGUAAAAGGCAUUUACCUUUAUAAAGUUUCAAAUUAAGUUUUCUUUUCUGUAUACACACUUGCCAAUUUGGAUCAAAUUUGAUAGAAUUAUUUUUUAUACAAUGUUAAAUAUCAAAAUCUUAUCCAAUUGAUAUAUACCCAAGCUGACCUUUUUAUAGGCCCGUUUACGGGACGUAUUAUGGUUUACCGUUGUCUGUCCGUCCAUCUGUCUGUCCAUCUGUCCGUCGUCAACAUGUCAGACAAUAACUCAAAAACUCUUUCACCAAUUUGCAUGAAACUUUGUUGAAUUGUUUAUAUCUAUUGACGUGAGGUCUCUUUCGAUUUUUAUAAAUUUUGGAUUUUAUAUUUCCGAGUUAUAAUAUAGGUUUUAUUCAUUAAAAAAGGGGGAUUUUCCAGUUUUGGACAAUAACUCCAAAAUGCUUUGAACAGUUUUCAUGAGACUUUUGUGAAUUGUUUAUAUCUAUUGAUGUGAGCUCCCUUUUGAUUUUUAUAAAUUUUAGAUUUUACGUUUCCGAGUUGUGGGGUUUUGUUCAUUAAAAAAGGGGGAUUUUCCAGUUUUCGGACAAUAACUUCAAAAUGCUUUGAACAGUUUUCAUGAAACUUUGUUGAAUUGUUUAUGUCUAUUGAUGUGAGCUCCCUUUUGAUUUAUAUAAAUUUUAGAUUUUACGUUUCCGAGUUGUUGGGGUAUUAUUCAUUAAAAAAGCGUGAUUUUCCAGUUUUCGGACAAUUACUCAAAAAUGCUUUGAACAGUUUUCAUGAAACUUUGUUGAAUUGUGUAUGUCUAUUGAUGUGAGCUCCCUUUCGAUUUUUAUAAAUUUUAGAUUUUACGUUUCUGAGUUGUGGUGUUUUAUUCAUUAAAAAAGGGGGAUUUUCCAGUUUUAGGACAAUUACUCAAAAAUCAUUUGAGCAGUUUUCAUGAAACUUUGGUGACUGGCUUAUAUCUAUUGAAAAAGUGACGGGCGUAUCAUGUGCUCAUGGCACAGCUGUUUAUUAAUAUUUUGGCCACUAUGAAUAAGAAUAAGACUUGUUUUUAUACAGUCCUAUAUUGGUAUGACGUUGUCGUCGUCGUCCGAAGACACAAUAACUUUAGUUUAAGUGAAUGGAUCUCUAUGAAAUUUUACCAAUACCACAAAAGAAAGGUUGGGAUUGAUUUUGGGGGUUAUGGUACCAAUAGUUAAGGAAUUAGGGGCCAAAAAGGGGCAAAAAAUAAACAUUUUUGUAACUUCCAGACAAUAACUUGUGUGUUAGUGUAUGGAUCUCUCUGACAUUGUAUCACAAGGUUCGAUUAAUUCCAUAUCACAAAAUGAAUGAUGGGACUGAUUUUGGGGGUAAUUACCUGAACAUUUUAGGAAUUAGGGGCAAAAAAGAAGCAUUUUUCUAGUUUCAUGACAAUAACUUGUGUGUAAGUGUAUGGAUCUUUCUGAAAUUGUACUACAAGGUUCCAUAUCACAAAGGGAAAGCUGGGUUUGAGUUUGGGGGUUAUUGCCCUAAACAUUUAGGAAUUUGGGGCCAAAAAGUGUCCAAAAAACAAGCAUUUUUACAGUUUCCAGACAAUAACUUGUGUUCAAGUGUAUGGAUCUCUCUGAAAAUGUACUGCAAGGUACCAUACCACAAAGGGAAGGCUGGGAUUGAGUUUGGGGUGAUGAAUCAUAAGGGGGUUCAAAAAAUUGGGGGGGGGGGAUUUUUUUUCCUUUUUUUUUUUUCUUUAAAAUUUUCCAUUUUAAGUUGGUUAUUUUUGAUUUAUAUAUAAAAGCAAAUAAUAAUGAUAUGGUUUGAUUUCAUCAAAAAUUGAAAUAUUGGGGUUCUUUGAUAUGCUGAAUCUAACAGUGUAUUUAGCUUCUAAAUUUUUGGUCCCGUUUUCAAAUUGGUCUACAUUAAGGUCCAAAGGGUCCAAAAUUAAACUUGGUUUGAUUUUAACAAAAAUUGAAUUCUUGGGGUUCUUUGAUAUGCUGAAUCUAACUGUGUAUGUAUUUGAGAUUUUGGAUAUUAGACCAUAAUAGGUAAAAUAAAAAAAUUUUAAGUUCUUAGACCACAUUCAUUCUGUGUCAGAAACCUAUGCUGUGUCAAAUAUUUAAUCACAAUCCAAAUUCAGAGCUGAAUCAAGCUUGAAUGUUGUGUCCAUACUUGCCCCAACUGUUCAGGGUUCGACCUCUGCGGUCGUAUCAAGCUGCGCCCAGCGGAGCAUUUUAUUCUGAAAUUGCAAAGAUUUUUUUAACAACCAUAUCCAGAAUGCAAGUUUUCCAUGGACUUCAGUGGGAAUUUAAGUUCAUAACUCUUUCUCUACCAAAAAAGACCAACCACAAUGUUGAAUAUAUAUUUAUAUUUGAUUUUUCUAGUAAAAUAUCCAAUAGCU